rnacentral:rRNA from 1 species
UACGUAGGGUGCAAGCGUUGUCCGGAAUUAUUGGGCGUAAAGAGCUCGUAGGCGGUUUGUCGCGUCUGCGUGUGAAAACGCGAGGCUCAACCUCGCGCCUGCAGUGGGUACGGGCAGACUAGAGUGCGGUAGGGGAGAUUGGAAUUCCUGGUGUAGCGGUGGAAUGCGCAGAUAUCAGGAGGAACACCGAUGGCGAAGGCAGAGUC